rnacentral:rRNA from 1 species
GAUGAACGCUAGCUACAGGCUUAACACAUGCAAGUCGAGGGGCAGCAUAAAAUCAGCUUGCUGAUUUGAUGGCGACCGGCGCACGGGUGAGUAACACGUAUCCAACCUGGCCUUUACUCAGGGAUAGCCUUUCGAAAGAAAGAUUAAUACCUGAUGGCAUAAAUUGACCGCAUGGUUGAUUUAUUAAAGAUUUAUUGGUAAAGGAUGGGGAUGCGUUCCAUUAGCUUGUUGGUAAGGUAACGGCUUACCAAGGCAUCGAUGGAUAGGGGUUCUGAGAGGAAGGUCCCCCACACUGGAACUGAGACACGGUCCAGACUCCUACGGGAGGCAGCAGUGAGGAAUAUUGGUCAAUGGGCGGAAGCCUGAACCAGCCAAGUAGCGUGAAGGAUGACUGCCCUAUGGGUUGUAAACUCCUGUCUUCGGGGAAGAUAAUGACGGUACCCGAGGAGGAAGCCACGGCUAACUACGUGCCAGCAGCCGCAGUAACAC